rnacentral:pre_miRNA from 1 species
AGUGAAAUUGCUAGGUAAUAUGAUAACUCAAUAUUUAACUUUUUGAGGAACUGGCAAACUAUUUCCCAAAGUGGCUGCACCAUUUUACAGUCCCACCAGCAAU